AUAUCACGAUGAGCGUUUGUGACAAACUUCACGUGAGCGCAGCCAACUUCACGUUGAUUCAAAACUACGCGCGCUUUAGUUUGCAAGUUAGCUUUGUGAAAACUAGCAUUAAAUUGUCAAAUAAUAUAUUUGUGCAAAAUAUAAAGUAUUGAGUGUUUAAAAAAGCGCUGCGAGUUUCCGGUGACAAAGUACGCAAUAGUGCAAUCUGUGUAAAAACGCAAGUUAAAUAAAUGCAAAUAGCGGUGAAUUUCGUGUGCUGCAGUCAACGAAAAAUAAUUGUUGUGAAAACCGGUUAAAACCAGUGCAAACCAAAUUCAUUUAGAUAAAUGAACAACUAAAGGAUUAUCUUUGGAAAAUCUUCGCUACGAAUCUUUGAGAAUAAUAAUAAUAUUUUAUACCCACUGAAAUUAUAGGUAAGUUUAAUUUGAAUUCACUUUAAAUGAUAAUUUUACUACAAA